UCCGGUUUAACACCGGCUUGCAGUGGCAUGUCAAACCUGGGUAAGGUUCUGCGCGUUGCGUCGAAUUAAACCACACGCUCCGCUGCUUGUGCGGGCCCCCGUCAAUUCCUUUGAGUUUUAAGCUUGCGCUCGUAGUUCCCAGGCGGGCCACUUCCCGCGUUUGCUAAGGCCCCCAAGGACGGAGAUUCCGCCCCCAAAGGCCGAGUGGCCAUCGUUUACGGCGUGGACUAC
rnacentral:misc_RNA from 1 species